rnacentral:pre_miRNA from 1 species
UACUCCCUCCCUCCGUCCCAAAAUACUUGUCAUCAAAAUGGAUAAAAGGAGAUGUAUCUAGAUGUAUUUUAGUUCUAUAUACAUCUUUUUUUGUCCAUUUUGAUGACAAGUAUUUUCGGACGGAGGGAGUAUUAA